CUAGAAGGCUCUGGAGUCUUAGGGAGCAGAGCUGUAGGAGGCUCGGGUGGUGGAGCCGUGGAAGGCUCAAGAGGCGGAGCCUUAGGAAGCUCUGGAGUCUUUGGGAGCAGAGCCAUGAGAGGCUCGGGAGGUGGAGCCGUAGGAGGCUCUGGAGGGGGAGCCGUAGGAGGCUCGGGAGGCAGAGCCAUAGGAGCCUCUAGUGGCCGAGCCCUGGGAGGCUCGGGAGGUGGAGCCGUAGGAGGCUCUGGAGGGGGAGCCCUGGGAGGCUCGAGAGGCUUGAGGGGGGGAGCCUUGAAAGACUCGAGAGACGAAGCCCUGAGAGGCUUGAGAGGAGGAGGAGCCCUGAAAGACUCGAGAGGGGGAGCCCUGAGAGGCUUGAGAGGGGGAGGAGCCCUGAGAGACUCGAGGGGCGGAGCCCUGAGAGACUCGAGAGGCGAAGCCGUGAGAGGCUUGAGGGGUGGAGCCAUGAAAGACUCGAGGGAUGGAGCCUUGAGAGACUCGAGAGGCGAAGCCGUGAGAGGCUUGAGGGGUGGAGCCAUGAAAGACUCGAGGGAUGGAGCCUUGAGAGACUCGAGAGGCGAAGCCGUGAGAGGCUUGAGGGGUGGAGCCAUGAAAGACUCGAGGGAUGGAGCCUUGAGAGACUCGAGAGGCGAAGCCAUGAGAGGCUUGAGGGGUGGAGCCAUGAAAGACUCGAGGGAUGGAGCCUUGAGAGACUCGAGAGGCGAAGCCGUGAGAGGCUUGAAGGGUGGAGCCCUGAGGGACUUGAGGGGUAGAGCUCUGGGAGGCUCGUGAG